GAAAACUUUAGACCUUCAUGAUGUUCCUCAACUUCAUGGCGAGGAUACUGGGGCUGGGUCAUUUCCAGUUUUUAGAAAUAAACUUGGGUUGGACAGUGAUACUGCUGGUGGAGUUACCACGUUUAAGCUCACGAAAGCAUUAAUCCUUUCAUAUUGGAAGGAAAUUCUAUGGACAGCUUUUUUAGCACUGUUAUACACAUCAGCUUCUUUUGUUGGUCCAUACCUUAUAGCCACUUUUGUUCAGUGCCUCAGUGGGAAAGGAGAGUUCAAAAAUCAGGGAUAUUUUCUAGCUUCCACAUUUUUUGUUGCAAAACUCGUAGAGUGCCUCUCGCAGAGGCAUUGGUUCUUUAGGUUG
rnacentral:misc_RNA from 1 species